rnacentral:lncRNA from 1 species
ACAGGUUAAGCAUCUGGCCACAAAAUCUGCAACUUCUUUUUUUAUUCCAGGCCACCAAUAAGUCAGCUCAAAUCUUUAUACAUUUUCGUACUCCCAGGGUGUAAAGCAUACGGCGCUCGAUGGGCUUCUGUUAAAAUUUCUUCUUUAACACCAGAAUCUGCCGGUACACAAAGUCUAUCACCAAAUUUCAACAGUCCUUGAUCAUCCGCUCGAAAAUCACUAACAUGAUCAGCAGU